GGGGAAUAUUGGACAAUGGGCGCAAGCCUGAUCCAGCCAUGCCGCGUGAGUGAUGAAGGCCCUAGGGUUGUAAAGCUCUUUUGUGCGGGAAGAUAAUGACGGUACCGCAAGAAUAAGCCCCGGCUAACUUCGUGCCAGCAGCCGCGGUAAUACGAAGGGGGCUAGCGUUGCUCGGAAUCACUGGGCGUAAAGGGUGCGUGGGCGGGUCUUUAAGUCAGGGGUGAAAUCCUGGAGCUCAACUCCAGAACUGCCUUUGAUACUGAGGAUCUUGAGUUCGGGAGAGGUGAGUGGAACUGCGAGUGUAGAGGUGAAAUUCGUAGAUAUUCGCAAGAACACCAGUGGCGAAGGCGGCUCACUGGCCCGAUACUGACGCUGAGGCACGAAAGCGUGGGGAGCAAACA
rnacentral:rRNA from 1 species